AUAUGUUUUAUUUUGGUUAAAUAAUUUGCUUUAAGAUUAUUUUACAUGUAAAUAUUUUUGUGUAUGGUUUAAUUUUUUAAAAAAAUUGAAUUAUUUUAUAUUAUUCGCAGUAAUUAAUAUUAUUUAUUAAAGAAAUUUAGAAAUAGUAAUUUUUAUUAAUAUUGGUAAAAUUUGUGCCAGCUACCGCGGUUAUACAAAUAAUAUGAGUAAAUGUUAUUAGUGUUAGUUAAAUAAAAUUAAUAAAAAUAAAUAUUUUAUUUUUUAGGUGAAAUUUUAAAAUAAAGUUUUAAUUUUUAAAUAAAAUUAAUUUAAGCUAUAAAAGUUUUUUUAAAAACUAGGAUUAGAUACCCUAUUAUUAAAAUGUAAAAAUUUAAAAGCUAGAGUAGUAUUAGUUAUAAUCUUGAAACUUAAAAAAUUUGGCGGUGUUUUAGUCUAUUCAGAGGAACCUGUUCUAUAAUCGAUAAUCCACGUUUUACCUUACUUAAUUUUGUUACAAUUUGUAUAUCGCCGUCAUCAGAAUAUCUUAAAAGAGAAAAAAUUUUCUUAAAUUUUUAUUAUUAAUCAUGUCAGGUCAAGGUGCAGUUUAUAAUUAAGUAGAAAUGGGUUACAAUAAGAUUUAUUUAAAUGAAUUAUUUUUUUUAAAUAAUAAUUUGAAGGUGGAUUUGAUAGUAAAUUAAUUUAAUUAUAAUUAAUUGAUUUUAGCUCUAAAACAUGCACACAUCGCCCGUCGCUCUCAUUAUUUUUGUUAAAAUGAGAUAAGUCGUAACAUAGUAGAUGUACUGGAAAGUGUAUCUAGAAUGA
rnacentral:ncRNA from 1 species